rnacentral:misc_RNA from 1 species
UGUCUUUCUCAACUGUUCCACCACAUCAUACUCACUCUGCUUCAUUAUUUGAAGCAACAGCUCCUCCUCUUCUUUAGGCCCGGCGGGUUCUACUUCCCCCAUUUUCUCAAUCUCCUCUUCUGUACUCUUCUAUAAUUCUCCCAUUUUUACUUUCCCUUUAUUCUUUUCUUUCUCUUCGUUCCCGUAACAUCUCCCACUUCGAGUUAUAAACUCG